UUGCUAUUUCUUGGGCGACUGAGA
rnacentral:miRNA from 1 species